rnacentral:sRNA from 1 species
AGAAAGGUGUGGUAGCUUGAAGAAAGGUGUGGUAGCUUGAAGAAAGGUGUGGUAGCUUAAAGAAAGGUGUGGUAGCUUAAAGAAAGGUGUGGUAGCUUAAAGAAAGGUGUGGUAGCUUAAAGAAAGGUGUGGUAGCUUAAAGAAAGAUGUGGUAGCUUGAAGAAAGGUGUGGUAGCUUGAAGAAAGGUGUGGUAGCUUGAAGAAAGGUGUGGUAGCUUGAAGAAAGGUGUGGUAGCUUAAAGAAAGAUGUGGUAGCUUGAAGAAAAGUGUGGUAGCUUAAAGAAAGAUGUGGUAGCUUAAAGAAAGAUGUGGUAGCUUGAAGAAAAGUGUGGUAGCUUGAAGAAAGAUGUGGUAGCUUGAAGAAAAGUGUGGUAGCUUAAAGAAAGAUGUGGUAGCUUAAAGAAAGAUGUGGUAGCUUAAAGAAAGGUGUGGUAGCUUAAAGAAAGAUGUGGUAGCUUGAAGAAAGGUGUGGUAGCUUAAAGAAAGGUGUGGUAGCUUAAAGAAAGGUGUGGUAGCUUAAAGAAAGGUGUGGUAGCUUUAAGGAAGAUGUGGUAGCUUAAAGAAAGAUGUGUUAGGAUGUAGGACAUUUGGAUCAUUCCUUUCUGAAUAUCUCAAUUUUUAGAUACUGGUAAUAAAAGAUUUUUUUUAAUCCAUAAUUUUUUUUUAAAUUCAACACUCUUAGGUAAAAGCACAUUCUAAUGCAGACACAAAGGAAGUUAUAUUUAGAAAGAAAGUGGCAGAAGUAACAACUAGAUUUAAGUCUUACAACUGUUCAGCUUCCACACCCCAAGCACCAUGUUUGUUG